rnacentral:rRNA from 1 species
UACGUAGGGGGCAAGCGUUAUCCGGAUUUACUGGGUGUAAAGGGAGCGUAGACGGCACGGCAAGCCAGAUGUGAAAGCCCGGGGCUCAACCCCGGGACUGCAUUUGGAACUGCUGAGCUAGAGUGUCGGAGAGGCAAGUGGAAUUCCUAGUGUAGCGGUGAAAUGCGUAGAUAUUAGGAGGAACACCGGUGGCGAAGGCGGCUUGCUGGACGAUGACUGACGUUGAGGCUCGAAAGCGUGGGGAGCAAACAGG